rnacentral:rRNA from 1 species
CCUACGGGUGGCAGCAGUGGGGAAUAUUGCACAAUGGGGGAAACCCUGAUGCAGCGACGCCGCGUGAAGGAAGAAGUAUUUCGGUAUGUAAACUUCUAUCAGCAGGGAAGAAAAUGACGGUACCUGACUAAGAAUCCCCGGCUACCUACGUGCCAGCAGCCGCGGUAAUACGUAGGGGGCAAGCGUCAUCCGGAUUUACUGGGUGUAAAGGGAGCGUAGGCGGUUUAGCAAGUCAGAAGUGAAAGCCCGGGGCUCAACUCCGGUACUGCUUUUGAAACUGUUGAACUAGAGUGCAGGAGAGGUAAGUGGAAUUCCUAGUGUAGCGGUGAAAUGCGUAGAUAUUAGGAGGAACACCAGUGGCGAAGGCGGCUUACUGGACUGUAAAUGACGCUGAGGCUCGAAAGCGUGGGGAGCAAACAGGAUUAGAUACCCUAGUAGUC